ensembl:misc_RNA Metazoa_SRP Metazoan signal recognition particle RNA
GCCAGGUGCCGUGGCUCACACCUAUAAUCCCAGCACUUUGGGAGGCUGAGGCAGGGGGAUUGCUUGAGCCCAGGAGUUCAAGACCAGACUGGGAAACAUGGUAAAACCCUGUCUCUACAAAAAAUUAGCCAGGUGUGGUGGCACAUGCCUGUAGUCCCAGCUACUUGAAAGGCUGAGGUGGGAGGAUCACCUGAGCCUGGGAGGUCGAGGCUGUAGUGAGCUGUGAUCAUACCAUGCACUCUAGCCUGGGCGACAGAGUGAGACCCUGUCUCA